rnacentral:lncRNA from 1 species
CUUCUCAUGCUGCAGUAAUCUGCCAUGACAAGAACGUGCCCCAUAUAGCUGCUGCUCCUUCCUUCUGGGUCCAGGAAUGAGUCUCCAGGAACAGGCCAUAAUCCCUGGGUAGCCGCUGGUCCCAGGAGAACGAGGGACAUGCCGAGCAGAUCUGAACUCAGCCUGCAGCUUGGAGUCUAGCCUCGAUCAACCAAGGUACGAUUCAAUUUCAGCUGAAUUGUACAGCUGACCCACAGGUCAUGAGCGUGACAAUAAAGGAUUAUUGUUUGAA